GACCCCGUGUUNAGAAAGUUUGCCUAAACUCCUCACUUAAUUGGCCUUUGCUUCCAGGUUUGUCUCUGCACAUUCAGUUUUAUAAAAUAGACUUGGAAUACACAUUGAUGACAACACCUUAAAUAACUACGCAUAAUGUCCAUACNAACUUCAUUUCAACAACCUUGCUAUAUCAUCAACAAUAACAUACACCUUCACAAAAUCAAACACAUUUUUGAAGAUAAUAGCCAACAUGAACAUGGUUGGCCAACUAACUUCACAUACCUGCCUAACAAUUUUAAUUUAUGUCGACAAACAUUAAACAUAAAUCAAAUCAAUGUAANUGAAGCACUUUCGUACAAUCUAAUUAAAUUAAAAUUAAUACCAAAGAAUAAAUGUUUGUGCAUCAACAACUUAGGUAAUAUUUACAUUUCAUAUUCUACUUCAACAUCCAACUGAAGUUCUUAACAUAAAAAUAUAACUACAACUUAUUCAACUACUCAUUUUUUUUCUUCUACCAUCUGGUGUAAAUAGAGUUCUCUUCGCCAUACUCUUGACCCUUNUUCGGGAUGCAACCUUCAUUUGAUUGUACAUUGUACUUUGCCUGAGUUCAUCCUGACCUUCACACCCUGGGGUUUGUUGCUGAUGUUGAACCGAUGUGCUUUCAAAAGGAUCUUCAUUUCCACUAAACGCCCUAUCAUCAAAGUCUUCACCGUUAUCAUCAUUUUUGGCUUGAACCAACUCUCUUAAAUGAUCAAUACUAUUCCUCCAUUACACUACACCAAAAGAGGUCAAAAAGAAAAUUUAGGACAUAAAGUCGUAAAUUUUCAACCAAAACUUCAACAAAGCAACCAAAAACAUAAAUCCUAAAAAAGUUCUCUAUAAUGAAUACUCAAAAAAUAAAGCCACCCAAAAAUAGUUCUUUGUAAUCAAAGAAAGAAAAAAGUUCUCACAUCCUAUAACGACUCAUUCAACCCAAAUACAUGACAAAAACAACCAUAGAACACCAAAAAUAACUACAUAAAAAAAAAUGUACCUUUAGAAUUACACUUACAAUUCUAUUAUACUUUUCUCCUUUGUGAGUUUCUUUCUAAUAUGUCAAGGUUUUAAAAACAUCCACAAUUGCAGUGGUGACUAUAACGACAACGUUUUUAACAUUUCAUGACCACAACGUGACAGCAAUCUCAUCCUUAGCUGUGACAUUUCUCCACAAACCUCCCUAAUAUCAUAAAUUUCAUUGUAACAGUGACUUCAAUUUAAAUCAGUAGUUGACCUUCAUUGUAAAAGGAAGGGAAUACCACGAGAGCAUAAAAGAUAUAAAGUAAAA
rnacentral:lncRNA from 1 species